GAAGAGGACAGUUUAGCUUUGAUCUCUGAAGCCUGGUGCACCAAGGAGGGAUGCUACUGGCCUCCAUAUAAGAGCCAUGAGAGAAUCAAGAAGGCAGUGAUGCUGCAUGAAAAACCAAACAGCGACGCAUGGGAGAUACACCCAUUUGAUUUACUAAAAACGAAAAAUACAUAUGACAAGGCCCAUGAAUGCCUGAUUCGGGCCGAAAAGGGCUCCAACAUUGAAACAGAGCCAGAGUCGCAUCAGAGGAAGAGAAAGCGAAAUCCUAAAUUUGACCAGACAGAUUCUGAGGAGUCUGAUGAUGGAGACUAUAUUCAGCUCCCACCACCACCAAAGCCCCCCAAAUUUGCCCCCAAAAGGAUCGUUUGUAAAGCUAAAAAAUGUAUGUGCAAAGUUUACCUGUAAUUUUCAUGAACUGUACACAUUUACAUUUUGAUAAUUAUCAUUUGCACAAUUUGCAGUAGCAUCCCCAAGAGUCAGCUCCCAUCCCUCUGUAUCACUCUCUGCUGGGGGAGCAGGAUGUAAAGCAGCCUACAGCUCCAAUAAGGCAACAAUACAAAACACCCAGCCCUCUUCUUCAUCACAGAAGCGCCCUGUUUACCGGCUAGAAG